CAUAACAUGUGCCUGGAAGACCUAAAUGGUAAUUAAUUUAUAUAUUUUUAAUUAUGGUAUAUAUGCAUUGACCUAGGUCCUAGACAUCAACGAUCAUCUAUAAUAAUUGUUGUUCACAGUUUGUUGUUCACAGUUAUAUAGUUCUUUAAUAGACUUAUUAUUUUACCUCUGUUGACAUUACUUAUAAUCCUGAAAAUCCGCGAACAUUUAGAUCUUUAUGCUUGAAGUGCAACUGUGUUCGUAGUUUAGCAUCUCCAAUAUCUUGCUGUUAUUGAAAAUUUUAGCGCAGUUACAGAGUACAGUAGCUACAUGGCGACUGCUCAUGCGGCUAUGCUUAUGUAGUCGUUACCAUGCAUCGAUUUGUUCAACUUCUUUUCAGCUAGUGCAUCUUUUUAUCAUAUCAUGAUCAGUUACCGUAUAGCUAGCCAAAUACUUAGUUGUAGAAAUGCAUGAAGUUAGUUGUUAGUUUUUUGCUAUUUGAUCUUAACGUAUUGUUCUUGGGUUCGCAGUAAUUGGCUAAUCGCUGUUGCGAAUACCCUGCCUUAUACUGUUAUAGUCUAUUUAGUUAAUUCGUUAAAUGAAGUAUUACUUUGUAAUAACUGCAUCUUUAAGACUAUCUGGCGAAGUUAAUAAAUUAAAAUUAAAUAAAUUAAUAGACAAUUCCCAUUAUAUUGCCAUUAUAGACUAAUGACUAAUGUUAAAACUAGGCAAAGAGAUGCAAAUAAAUCAUCACAGCUAGAAAGAGCAUACUAAAAUUAGUAAAAUUGCAAAGUUUGGUUGCGAAAUGUUGUAAAAUGCAGAAAAUAUAGCCUCAAGGUGGAGCUCAUGUUGGUUCGUAGCAAUUUCCGCACGCAAUACAAAAGCGUACAAAAUUUGCAAACUUUGCAAGGCUAUAUUAUUUAUUUUCCGCAUUUUACAACAUUUCGCAACCAAAUUUGCAAUUUUACUAAUUUUAGUAUGCUCUUUCUAGCUAUGGUAAUUUAUUUGCAUCUCCUUGCCUAGUUUUAAAAUUAGUCUGCAAUGCGGGAAUUGUCUAUUGCUCUAUUGGUAUAACCCUCAAUCGUGAACAUAACUUGUUAAUAAAAUUUUAAUUUACCUCUGUGAGAGUUUAAAUUGUAGUUUGAUUCCUGCAUGUAUUUUGUCUAAAACAUCCCCCCCCCCCUUCCCCCAACACAAUGUUGUUGAACUACGUUAAAAAUGAGAGGAAAAUCAUGGCAACAUUGGGUGGGGGAGUGGGGGAACCUGUAUGAAGUUACUUGAUUGUAUUUUCCUAAAAUGUCGAUCGAUUUUAUUAACACUUUUGUCCAUGAUUGCUGGCCUUAUAGAUGCCUGACGCGCACGUUUGAGAAAGUUUACUCGUUUUAACCAAAGCAACUUUUGUGAUGUUUUAAAACAUAUUUUUUAGAAAAACGCAUUCCCUAAUUAUCACAAAUGCUAUAGUAAUAUGUACUAGAAAAACCAACAUAUAUACUAAUCAUUAUUGGAAACCAAUUCAAAAAUGUACAUGUACAGGAACUAAGAUCUUGAAGAAAAUAAGCUAUUAAGUAUUACAAUAUAGAUGACUUUCAUGCAUGCCUGAUGCCUCCUAACUUUCAGAAUUUUGCGUUUUUGCAUGUUGCACCUGCAGAUCAUAUUGUAUGUAUUUCCUCUCUAGGAUAAAACAAAUGCUCUACUCAUAAAUGGUCGGAAGUAUCCAAGUAUUAUACCAAGUGACGACGUAUCUUAUACUGUUAUAGCAUCAAAACAACGAUCAUAUCUGGAUAUCAGAACAAAUGGCAUUGAAAAAACAACAUGCAAGCUUUGUUUAUCAGUUUAAAAAAUUUUGUUUCCGAUAUAAAAACAAUCGUUCCUCUCCAAUGACAUAUAUAUUGUGUUUAUUUGUUCGCUUGGAAUGAUGAUACAACAUUGUUUUUAAUAAUAUUUUAAUAAUAAUUUUUAAUAAUUUCAAUGAAAGAAAUUUCGAGUAGAGCCCGGAUCAAACUAGCCUACGUCAUAGAUGCACUAGUGCAUGCAUGAGUAUGGCAGUCAUGCGACUUUCGUUGGCUGUUAUUAAUGCUAUUCUAACACUUAUCUGACUAUCAUGCAUUCAAAAAUCUUUAAACAUAGUUGAACAGUCAUCAUGUUUAGAGCUUGAAAUGUCUCCAGUAACAAUUAAUCCGUGACUGCAUGCCAAAUCUCAUCAACUCUCAACCUUGGCGAGGGGUUAAAAUUCAAAGAGAUCAUAAAUUUUCUGAUAUAUAUACUAUACAUGUCAUGUUUAUAAAAUUAUAUAUCAAUGUCAGUUUAGAGGUGGACCAUUAGAUAUCCAGGGAAGGGGUGGGGGGGGGGGGCAGAUCCAAAAAUAUCAUGCAAAGAGUAGAAUUUGAAAACAAUAUUCAAGUAUUUACAAGCCACUAGCUACAUGGAAUAUACAGACAUACACAGAAAACUAUACUGCACAGUUUCCACACCUAAAAACAGUUGGACAAAGAACCGAACUUACGACCCCCUUACUUCACUUGUUUCGUUUCAAGUGGCAUGUGUAAUAUUUGGAAUAUGUCUUUUCAGCUUCAUGCAUCUUGAUCAAAUUUUUUAUUGUCAAAGUUGUCG